GUACUACUCUCAGAGUUUGAUCCUGGCUCAGGAUGAACGCUGGCGGCGUGCUUAACACAUGCAAGUCGAACGGAGUUUGAAUAAGGAAGCCCUCGGGUGGAAUUAUUCAAACUUAGUGGCGGACGGGUGAGUAACGCGUGGGUAACCUGCCGUAUACAGGGGGAUAACACUUAGAAAUAGGUGCUAAUACCGCAUAAGCGCACAGUAUCGCAUGAUACAGUGUGAAAAGCCUUGACGGUAUACGAUGGACCCGCGUCUGAUUAGCUAGUUGGUGAGGUAGAGGCUCACCAAGGCGACGAUCAGUAGCCGGCCUGAGAGGGUGACCGGCCACAUUGGGACUGAGACACGGCCCAA
rnacentral:rRNA from 1 species